rnacentral:rRNA from 1 species
AGUGAACGCUGGCGGUAGGCCUAACACAUGCAAGUCGAACGGCAGCACAGUAAGAGCUUGCUCUUACGGGUGGCGAGUGGCGGACGGGUGAGGAAUACAUCGGAAUCUACUUUUUCGUGGGGGAUAACGUAGGGAAACUUACGCUAAUACCGCAUACGACCUACGGGUGAAAGCAGGGGAUCUUCGGACCUUGCGCGAUUGAAUGAGCCGAUGUCGGAUUAGCUAGUUGGCGGGGUAAAGGCCCACCAAGGCGACGAUCCGUAGCUGGUCUGAGAGGAUGAUAGGCCACACUGGAACUGAGACACGGUCCAGACUCCUACGGGAGGCAGCAGUGGGGAAUAUUGGACAAUGGGCGCAAACCUGAUCCAGCCAUACCGCGUGGGUGAAGAAGGCCUUCGGGUUGUAAAGCCCUUUUGUUGGGAAAGAAAAGCAGCAGGUUAAUACCCCGCUGUUCUGACGGUACCCAAAAAAUAAGCACCGGCUAACUUCGUG